rnacentral:rRNA from 1 species
AGAGUUUGAUCCUGGCUCAGGACGAACGCUGGCGGCGCGCCUAACACAUGCAAGUCGAACGAGCGAGAGAGAGCUUGCUUUCUCGAGCGAGUGGCGAACGGGUGAGUAACGCGUGAGGAACCUGCCUCAAAGAGGGGGACAACAGUUGGAAACGACUGCUAAUACCGCAUAAGCCCACGGGUCGGCAUCGACCAGAGGGAAAAGGAGCAAUCCGCUUUGAGAUGGCCUCGCGUCCGAUUAGCUAGUUGGUGAGGUAACGGCCCACCAAGGCGACGAUCGGUAGCCGGACUGAGAGGUUGAACGGCCACAUUGGGACUGAGACACGGCCCAGACUCCUACGGGAGGCAGCAGUGGGGAAUAUUGCACAAUGGGGGAAACCCUGAUGCAGCGACGCCGCGUGGAGGAAGAAGGUCUUCGGAUUGUAAACUCCUGUUGUUGAGGAAGAUAAUGACGGUACUCAACAAGGAAGUGACGGCUAACUACGUGCCAGCAGCCGCGGUAAAACGUAGGUCACAAGCGUUGUCCGGAAUUACUGGGUGUAAAGGGAGCGCAGGCGGGAAGACAAGUUGGAAGUGAAAUCUAUGGGCUCAACCCAUAAACUGCUUUCAAAACUGUUUUUCUUGAGUAGUGCAGAGGUAGGCGGAAUUCCCGGUGUAGCGGUGGAAUGCGUAGAUAUCGGGAGGAACACCAGUGGCGAAGGCGGCCUACUGGGCACCAACUGACGCUGAGGCUCGAAAGUGUGGGUAGCAAACAGGAUUAGAUACCCUGGUAGUCCACACCGUAAACGAUGAUUACUAGGUGUUGGAGGAUUGACCCCUUCAGUGCCGCAGUUAACACAAUAAGUAAUCCACCUGGGGAGUACGACCGCAAGGUUGAAACUCAAAGGAAUUGACGGGGGCCCGCACAAGCAGUGGAGUAUGUGGUUUAAUUCGACGCAACGCGAAGAACCUUACCAAGUCUUGACAUCCCUUGACGAACAUAGAAAUAUGUUUUCUCUUCGGAGCAAGGAGACAGGUGGUGCAUGGUUGUCGUCAGCUCGUGUCGUGAGAUGUUGGGUUAAG